AGCAAAACGAUUACCCUGAACGGUGGAUCACUUGGCUCGCGGGUCGAUGAAGAACGCAGUUAACUGCGCGU
rnacentral:rRNA from 1 species